CAUAACUCUCACAUAAAAACUAUCAAUAAUCAACAAUUUUAACACCAAUAAUAAAUGAAUGUCACUAUGUGUGUGGGUAAUACAUUUUGGGGGUCUGAAAUAGGUCAAUGUCGCUGUGUGUGGGUAGUACAUAUUUGGGUCUGAAAUAGGUCAGUGUUGCUGUGUGUGGGUAGUACAUUUUUGGGUCUGAAAUAGGUCAAUGUCGCUAUGUGUGGGUAGUACAUUUUUGGGUCUGAAAUAGGUCAAUGUCGCUAUGUGUGGGUAGUACAUUUUUGGGUCUGAAAUAGGUCAACAGCCCUGAGUGAGGUUGUUAAGGCCACAUGUUGUUUGUUUAAUAGUUCACCUGGUAGUCUUUAAAUAAUUAAAACCAAUGUUAAAACAGCAAUAUAAAACAAAUCAUAGUGUAAUACUGAGAGGACUUACACUCCACUAAUUAUUAACUUUUCUGUUUGGCAGUUUGUGAAUAGCAGCUAAAUAAAACAUCCUACAAGAGGAACUCAUUCGUUCCCAGCAGGCAAUCCCUUCCAAUACAAAAGUAAUGCUUCUUGAUUUAAAUAUAUUUCAGUGAACCAAAUCAAAUGUAUCCAGCAUUGCAAGUGCCAAUACAAUAAUCACAUAAAAAAAUAGAUUAGAGAAAUUCAUGGACAGCGAUGUUAGGUUCACAGGAGCUACCUUGUAUAGACCUACUGGCCUCUUGCAGACUCCUUGCUUUCUUACGUUCUCUUCAGUCUUAAUUAUGAAAUAUUUCUGGUGUUUGCACAUUACAUAAAAGGAUUACAGAAACCCUGGCUGCCCUUCAGGUAUAAAUCACACAUUCAGGUCAUUCCAUUACAUGUCUAAUUCUCACCAUGAAAAGGUAUUAAAAUCUUGAAUCACGGAAUUACUUUUCUGGUGAGGAUGUCAACAGCCCUGGGCACACACACACACAUUUAACCUCAACACCCAAUCAUAAAAGAGAACCAUUGCUUAACCCGGUAGCAGUGGGGAUCAUGUUUCUUAAUGGUCCCUCUAAGCAAGAAAAAUGAUAAAAAAUCAUCACACACAAACCAUUUCAUAAUAUAUAUCAAAACAUUUGUGAUCAGUUUAUGUAUCAUCUAUUUUUGGGGUUUAUUUCAUGGCACAAAUUUGGCCCGUCACUGCUACAUGGUAAAGCCACAAAUUUGGCCUGUCGCUGCUACCAGGUUAAUACACACAGACAUGCCAUCAGGUCAGUAAUCUUGGGGCACAGGUAACAGGUGCUGGGGAAGGAUAAUACUCGUGAACUAUUCAGUUAUAGUUCUAAUACUUUACAUACUUGGAAGGACAAUGUACAGUAAGGCAGGGAAGAUAAUGUAUUCUUAGCAGACCUGAGUAUACAUGUUUCACUGUUAUUUAUUGAUUUUAUUUUUUUUAAGCCUAUGCCUAUAGUGCCGGUAAGCUUGCUUGAGGGGCCUGGAUGGUAUUCGACUCCAGCCCGUCAUGGCGCAAGGAAGUGUUUAUAGUGGCGCCAUCUUCUCUUGGCUCAUGCUGCCCCCCGGAACUCCUUCUUGAUUCACUUGGACAGUUUCCUCUAGAAUGGUUGAUGGAUGGUCUUCAGGACAGCAUGUGGGUAGUUUUAAGACACUCAGCGGUGACUGAAAAAUCCCAGGUGGUAGCGUGGAGAUUCGAACUUGCGUCGUCCAUCAUGUGGUGAAUGUGGGCCCAGCAUGCUACCACUCAGCCACUGCCUACCCAUGAUACUUCACCAUCUCUUAAAUUCUUAUAGUCUUGCAUAUAUAAAUAAUUCCUAAGUGGAUAAGACAUUGGAUGAUGUAAUACUGAACCACAACCCUAAAUUUUUGUAGUAAUACCUUAUAUAUCUACUUCAACAAUACGAGACCUUACUCACCACCUACUGUUACUUCUUCAUGCAGACAAAACAGUGCUAUAACAUGCGUGCUCUUCUCUACCCUUACCAAAGAUUAAAAAUGUGGCAGACAUCCAAAACCAGA